AAAAUAAACACGACAAGAAGCGUGUUUACUUGCUUAUAGCAGGAAAACAGCGUCUAAUUAUCUAGAAACAGUUAAUGACUUCUUGUAUCCGCUGCAAGAAGUAAUGUGAAAUUUCACUACAUAUCCAAAAAACUAGACAGUACAUUUUUGCCAAUAACUCACUGCAAUGUGACAGUGAACCUGUGAUUACAAAACCGAGAGGCCCCAGUCAUCACUGCAAAUUUCUCCAAAAAUAUCAGCGGCGUGAUAGCAACUCGUGCUUUGAUUUGUGGUAGGUAGUGCUCCAGGAUGAAGCGUCUAGGAUGAAUACCCAACAGAAGAACAACAACGAAUAUGUCAUCAACACCUCAAGAAAAGCUGUAGGCAAGGAGAAAAAUCAUAGAGCUAAAAUUCCAAUACCAUUUCAUGGCAGACAAACCCAGCAGCUUACAUGUUGUCAUGCUUCCUUGGUUAGCCUUCGGCCAUUUCAUCCCUUUUCUAGAGCUCUCCAAAUUCAUAGCUCAGAGAGGUCACAAAGUUAGCUUCGUU
rnacentral:lncRNA from 1 species